CAACAGGGCUCCCCUUUCGCCUGCAUCCAUAUAACCCGGCCCGGAUAUGGAGGUGAAAAGUUGCCUAUGGGAUUGCAAAUCCAGGAAACGGAGUUGUCCUGUGCUGCCAGCAGAAGUGCCAUCUCUGCCCUUAAAACGCGCCUUGGCACGUAGAGGAGCUGCUGGACGAGAGCAGCUCCUCAGCCCCUGCCCCGGGCGCCCUGUCAGGACACACGGGCUGACAGCAGCUGCACGGCUGCCCCGCUGCCGGCUCCGGGCAGCACAUGGCACCCUGCCGGGCACGGAGGAAACACCCCAAACACAACCACAGAGCCGUCAGGGUUGGAAGGGGGGGGAUCACCCAGUCCCAGCCCUCCGCCGAGGCAGGGUCGCGCACAGCAGGUGACACAGGAAUGCACCCAGGCUGGAAAUCCCCCUGCACCUGAUGUUCUCUGCACCGUACGCCCCAGGAGAGGCUCUGAAUGAGAGUGUCCUUGGCACAGAACAUGGCCCCUGAUACAGCAUCUCAUCUGGCUGCAGCACCUGAGCUCCUUCAGGCCCAAGGAUGGAAAGCUGAAAUCACUUUAUUUUCCAAGUUGCAAUAGGAUUAGGCUUUUUCCUAAAUGUCAUGUGUUAAAUUAAGGAAAUCAAA